UGCGUAGGCGGUCCGGGAAGUUGGGUGUGAAAGCCCUCAGCUCAACUGAGGAAUUGCGCCCAAAACUGCCGGACUUGAGGGAGACAUAGGUGAGCGGAACUUAGGGUGGAGCGGUGAAAUGCGUUGAGAUCCUAAGGAACACCAGUAGCGAAAGCGGCUCACUGGGUCUCUUCUGACGCUGAUGCACGAAAGCUAGGGGAGCGAAGAGGAUUAGAUACCCUCGUAGUCCUAGCCGUAAACAAUGAGCACUGGUUUGGAGGGUCCUCCAUAGCCUUCCAGACGUAGCGAAAGUGUUAAGUGCUCCGCCUGGGGAGUAUGGUCGCAAGGCUGAA
rnacentral:rRNA from 1 species